GCCAGAGUCCCGGAAACCUGCUGCCGUGCUGCUUCACACCUGACAGCCAGUUCUCUGAUAAACACGUCGACAGCGAAGCAGCGAACGGGCGAAUCACAGAUGCGCUGAUGCCGUCAAAUAACCCAACACACGGGUGUUCCAGCACAGGGAGCCGCAGCUGAGAGCCGCUCAACCAUAACUCAGCUAAUCUGAACUGGACCUCAGGCCUGCUGUGUGGUUCAGCCCGAUCAAGUAGUUUUAGGUUUUGUGUGCUUCAUCUCACCUGGGUGAACUCAGGCUGCCGGUCUGGUUUGGAGCCUUCGUCUCUGUAGCACCGAGCUAUCUGGAAGUACCUGAGGAGACAGGAGGUUGUUGGCCACAGACAGCAGGGUCUGACUCUACUGUGGACAUCUAAAGAUUCUGCUAGGUGUGCAAUGCUGUCAGCAGUGGAAAUCAACUAGGCUCUGCUUUGGAUCUCCAUCAACUCAUAUGAGACAAUCGCACCAUUUAAAAGCAAGAAACAUCUUACUGCUAAAUAGUGCAUUAUGUUCCAGUCAGUGGAGCCCUGCACUAACCUGUCUACACCAGCCACCAUGAGAAGCUGUUUAAACUGCUGCGGACUCUGGGGUAGAGAGUAAAACAGGCCUGGCUCUCUGGAUGGAACCACAAACUCUUUGGCUCCCUAAAACAAACCACAAACAUGUUUGUUCAUUAAGAUAUCAGACAUGAAACCAGAACAUUUACACCCAGCUUGGUUUUGCUAUUAUAUGACCCCUUAGGAGGACAAUUCUUUGUAAACUGAUCUUACAGAACAUUAAGAUGAACUCUUGUACAUGUUUCUGCUGCAUA